UACGGGGGGAGCAAACGUUGUUCGGAAUCACUGGGCGUAAAGGGCGUGUAGGCGGCUGGAUAAGUGGGAUGUUAAAUCCCCCGGCUCAACCGGGGACCUGCAUCUCAUACUGUUCAGCUCGAGCACAUCAGAGGAGACUGGAAUUCCCGGUGUAGCGGUGAAAUUCGUAGAUAUUCGGAAGAACACCAGUGGCGAAGGCGGCUCACUGGACUGGUAUUGACGCUGAGGUGCGAAAGCGUGGGGAGCAAACAGG
rnacentral:rRNA from 1 species